UGCUCUUUGGAAACACCCUGGAAGAAU
rnacentral:piRNA from 1 species